CAGCAGCCGCGGUAAUACGAAGGGUGUAAGCGUUACUCGGAAUUACUGGGCGUAAAGCGUGCGUAGGUGGUGGUUUAAGUCCGUUGUGAAAGCCCUGGGCUCAACCUGGGAAUUGCAGUGGAUACUGGGUCACUAGAGUGUGGUAGAGGAUAGUGGAAUUUCCGGUGUAGCAGUGAAAUGCGUAGAGAUCGGAAGGAACAUCUGUGGCGAAGGCGACUAUCUGGGCCAACACUGACACUGAGGCACGAAAGCGUGGGGAGCAAACAGGAUUAGAUACCCCAGUAGUCCCUGUCUCUUAUAC
rnacentral:rRNA from 1 species